AACGAACGCUGGCGGCAGGCCUAACACAUGCAGGUCGAACGGGUGUAGCAAUACAUCAGUGGCGCACGGGUGAGUAACACGUGGGAACGUGCCCUUCACUACGGGACAACGCCGGGAAACUGACGCUAAUACCGUAUAAUGUCUCCGGACUAAAGAUUUAUCGGUGAAGGAUCGGCCCGCGUCUGAUUAGCUAGUUGGUGAGGUAAUGGCUCACCAAGGCGACGAUCAGUAGCUGGUUUGAGAGAAUGAUCAGCCACACUGGGACUGAGACACAGCCCAGACUCCUACGGGAGGCAGCAGUGAGGAAUCUUGGACAAUGGGCGCAAGCCUGAUCCAGCCAUGCCGCGUGAGUGAUGAAGGCCUUAGGGUUGUAAAGCUCUUUUGCCGGGGAUGAUAAUGACCGUACCCGGAGAAUAAGCCACGGCUAAAUUCGUGCCAGCAGCCGCGGUAA
rnacentral:rRNA from 1 species